rnacentral:lncRNA from 1 species
CCCUUACCGUCUAAUUUUUGGUAUGUAUAUAUCCUUUUAAUUAACGGAGGAACAUGUGUCUCAAUCAUAAAAGCCUAUCCAAAAUCUAUUUGUUUUUUACCCAUAAUUAAAAAAAUCCACCCAAAUAACUAAGACCCAACCCAAAUUAUAACCCGAAAUCUUCAUAUGCCCAUUUCAAAAAUAAAAAUAAUUUCCAUUCCUAAAAGAACUCAAAUCUUGAUACCACAGGCCACAACAUACAUCUCAAAUGAAAAGCAACACACUCAAGCAUAUCAAAG